GGCUCAGUUAGUAGAGCACGUGACUCUUGAUCUCGGGUUUGUGAGUUCAAACCUCAC
rnacentral:tRNA from 1 species